rnacentral:rRNA from 1 species
GAUGAACGCUAGCGGCAGGCCUAAUACAUGCAAGUCGAACGGUGUCUUCGGACAUAGUGGCGCACGGGUGCGUAACACGUAUGCAACCUACCUUACAUUGGGGGAUAGCCUUUCGAAAGGGAGAUUAAUACCGCAUAAGACAGUAGCUGGGCAUCCAGCAGCUGUUAAAGAUUUAUCGAUGUAAGCUGGGCAUGCGUCCAAUUAGCUAGUUGGUGAGGUAACGGCUCACCAAGGCAAUGAUUGGUAGGGGAACUGAGAGGUCAAUCCCCCACACUGGCACUGAGAUACGGGCCAGACUCCUACGGGAGGCAGCAGUAGGGAAUAUUGGGCAAUGGACGCAAGUCUGACCCAACCAUGCCGCGUGCAGGAUGAAGGCGUUAUGCGUUGUAAACUGCUUUUAUACAGGAAGAAACGACUCUUGCGAGAGGCAUUGACGGUACCGUAUGAAUAAGCACCGGCUAACUCCGUGCCAGCAGCCGCGGUAACAC